AUUGUGCUAGAGGCUUGUAAAUUGAAACUACGUGAUCUGAAGGGAGCAUUGUUAGAUGCUGAAUUUGCAGUACGUGAUGGAGAGAACAAUGCAAAAGCUUAUUUUCGGCAGGGACAGGCUCAUAUGGAACUAAAUGAUAUCGACGCUGCAGCGGAAAGCUUCUCUAAGGCAUUGGAGUUGGAGCCAAAUGGUGGUGGGAUCAGGAAAGAGCUUAUUGCUGCCAAGAAGAAGAUUUUUGAGAGGCGAGAACUGGAGAAGAGGGCAUAUCGGAAGAUGUUUACGUAACAGGUCUGUAUACUACUAUCCAUAUAUUAUUUCUCUCUACUUUGCCAUGAGCUAUUGGCCUAGCUAGUCAUAAAGUGUCCGAGUCUCAUAUUAUCCUGUCUUCCAAUCCUAUACUGUU